rnacentral:lncRNA from 1 species
UGCGGCCUCCUAGGCCUUUGCUAGUUGAUCCCAUAGAUAUGUGACCUUGGCCUCACUCUUUUGGAGUUCAGCAACUCUCAUCUUGUAGGUGUUCUUAGCCUCCUCUAGAGAGGCCUGAGCUACCUUCAGGGUGGCCUUGGCAACAUUAGUCCGAGAAUUUUCUAUCGCCAACCACUCCUUUGCUCACGUUAAGGAAGAACAUAGCCCUUCCUCAAUUUUGCUCCAUUCCUCUUCAACCAUGCUUCGACCCUCCUUAGCCGUCGAAAGAUGCUGAUGGAGCUGG